rnacentral:rRNA from 1 species
UGGGGAAUAUUGGACAAUGGGCGCAAGCCUGAUCCAGCCAUGCCGCGUGUGUGAAGAAGGCCUUUUGGUUGUAAAGCACUUUAAGCGAGGAGGAGGCUACUUGGAUUAAUACUCUAGGAUAGUGGACGUUACUCGCAGAAUAAGCACCGGCUAACUCUGUGCCAGCAGCCUCGGUAAUACAGAGGGUGCGAGCGUUAAUCGGAUUUACUGGGCGGAAAGCGUGCGUAGGCGGCUUCUUAAGUCGGAUGUGAAAUCCCUGAGCGUAACUUAGGAAUUGCAUUCGAUACUGGGAAGCUAGAAUAUUGGAGAAGAUGGUAGAAUUCCAGGUGUAGCGGUGAAAUGCGGAGAGAUCUGGAGGAAUACCGAUGGCGAAGGCAGCCAUCUGGGCUAAUACUGACGCUGAGGUACGAAAGCAGGGGGAGCAAACAGG